rnacentral:tRNA from 1 species
GCGACACUAGCUCAGUUGGUAGAGCGCAACCUUGCCAAGGUNNGUUCGAACCUCGUGUGUCGCUCCA